GCUGCGUCGACCACAGUCUGGACAUAAAACAACACAUCUAGAUUUAUGUCUUUUACAGGAAGACCUGAGUUGACUUGAAUAACUAAGGUCUUACCUUGACACAGCACAGUCAGAACCUGGCCACUCUCACAGUUACUGCAACACAGGAAGACUGAGUCAACUCGUCCUGUUUGACACAGAAGAAGUCUACACCCUCGUUGCUUCCCUCA